GAUGAACGCUGGCGGCGUGCCUAAUACAUGCAAGUCGAGCGGACGGACGCGAAGCUUGCUUCUCUGAUGUUAGCGGCGGACGGGUGAGUAACACGUGGAUAACCUACCUAUAAGACUGGGAUAACUUCGGGAAACCGGAGCUAAUACCGGAUAAUAUUUUGAACCGCAUGGUUCAAAAGUGAAAGACGGUCUUGCUGUCACUUAUAGAUGGAUCCGCGCUGCAUUAGCUGGUUGGUAAGGUAACGGCUUACCAAGGCAACGAUGCAUAGCCGAACGGAGAGGGGGAUCGGCCACACUGGAACGGAGACACGGUCCAGACGCCUACGGGAGGCAGCAGUAGGGAAUCGUCCGCAAUGGGCGAAAGCCUGACGGAGCAACGCCGCGUGAGUGAUGAAGGUCUUCGGAUCGUAAAACUCUGUUAUUAGGGAAGAACAGAUGUGUAAGGAACUGUGCACAUCGUGACGGUACCUAAUCAGAAAGCCACGGCUAACUACGUG
rnacentral:rRNA from 1 species